ensembl:rRNA 5S_rRNA 5S ribosomal RNA
GAAUAUGGCCACACCACUCUGAACACGCCUGAUCUUGUCUGAUCUCAUGAAGCUAAGCAGGGUCAGGCCUGGUUAGUACUUGGAUGGGAGGAAUAGAUCUUGAAAUUUAUAAAUAGCACUCAGACAUCUAUUUUUA